GACGAACGCUGGCGGCGUGCUUAACACAUGCAAGUCGAACGGAAAGGCCCUGCUUGCCGGGUACUCGAGUGGCGAACGGGUGAGUAACACGUGGGUGAUCUGCCCUGCACUUCGGGAUAAGCCUGGGAAACUGGGUCUAAUACCGGAUAGGAGCCAUUUUUAGUGUGAUGGUUGGAAAGUUUUUUCGGUGUAGGAUGAGCUCGCGGCCUAUCAGCUUGUUGGUGGGGUAAUGGCCUACCAAGGCGGCGACGGGUAGCCGGCCUGAGAGGGUGGACGGCCACAUUGGGACUGAGAGACGGCCCAGACUCCUACGGGAGGCAGCAGGGGGGAAUAUUGCACAAUGGGCGCAAGCCGGAUGCAGCGACGCCGCGGGGGGGAUGACGGCCUUCGGGUUGUAAACGCCUUUCGCUAGGGACGAAGCUUUUUGUGACGGUACCUAGAUAAGAAGCACCGGCUAACUACGUG
rnacentral:rRNA from 1 species